rnacentral:misc_RNA from 1 species
AGCAGCCGCGGUAAUUCCAGCUCCAAUAGCGUAUAUUAAAGUUGUUGCAGUUAAAAAGCUCGUAGUUGAAUUUCGGGAUCAAUAUGUUGGUCGUGCCUCGGUACGUACUAGCUUAUUGGUUUCUCCUUUCUGAAGAACCAUGAUGUCAUUUAUUUGGUGUCGUGGGGAAUCAGGACUGUUACUUUGAAAAAAUUAGAGUGUUUAAAGCAGGCUCACGCUUGAAUACAUUAGCAUGGAAUAAUGAAAUAGGACGUUUGAUUCUAUUUCGUUGGUUUCUAGGAUCGACGUAAUGAUUAAUAGGGAUAGUUGGGGGCAUUAGUAUUCAAUUGUCAGAGGUGAAAUUCUUGGAUUUAUUGAAGACUAACUACUGCGAAAGCAUUUGCCAAGGAUGUUUUCAUUAAUCAAGAACGAAAGUUAGGGGAUCGAAGACGAUCAGAUACCGUCGUAGUCUUAACCAUAAACUAUGCCGACUAGGGAUCGGAUGAUGUUAAUUUUUU